AGAAAGGUGUGUGGGACUGGGGAAUAUCGGCCUCAUAAAAACAGAGACUUAUGUAGCAAAAAGGUCGAUGUACUUUUUUUUUUUUUAGAUAUAUUUAUUCAAUUUCCAACAAAAAAUGCUUUUUCAAGAUUGGAUCGCCAAAGCAAAAUGACAAAAUGAAUCCAAGAGCUGCCAAGGGCCCCAGACGAUUUCUCUGCCUGUCAGCCUCCUCCUCCCUCUAUGUAACUUCAGCCCAAGGUUCUCUUCAGGGGUGUCGAAGACCCAUCCCUCCGGCUGAGAGAGGGAUUAACUCUUUGCCCUCCUUUCUCUCUCUCUUCCUCUCCCCCUCUCUCUCUCUCUCUCUCUCUCUUCCUGUCUUCCUCUCUCUCCCUGUCUCUCAGAAGCCUUGUCAUGUGUUGCCUAUACAGUGAAAUCCACUCUAAUGUAACUAAAACCUUCCUCUCCAGAAUCUUUUAAGACCUAAUUCAAUGUCCCUUCUCUUUUCCCCUCUAAAAAGAGGGUUGGAAACCAGGGACGGAAACAGAGAGAAGGCACAGUACCAUACAGUAGGCUGGGUGGAUGCUCUGUGGGUCACAUGGUCUAUCUGUCUCCAGGAACAAAGGAAUUUUUGAUGAGUUUUUUUGCCCUAGAAAAUACUCAAGGGGCUCUGAAAACUGUGGAUUUGAAAAAAACAUUUAAAUUUAAGAGUAAAAAAAGAAAAAAAUAUGAUUUCCCUCCAAGCCGUGUGUUUGCACUUGCAAUUAUGGGUGACAUUUUGUGAUGAACAAGGGCUGCGUUUUGCAGUGUGUGUGUGUGUGUGUGUGUUGACUAGUGUUUUUGAGCGAUAUACUUGAAGCCCAAUUGUGAGAUGAUUCUGUUAGCAUGACCUGGCUUUUCUUUUCAUAUAAUCAGAAAAUGUAAUGAGCUAAAAAUGUAAUAUUUAAUGCGAGAUGUAUAUUUUAGUAUGUUAUUUACCUACAUUUCUAGAUUAGUAGAGAUGUAAAGAAAAUACACAUAGAAAGAUGUGGAAUACAGUAUUAUAAACUAUAGCAUUGUGUAAUAUUACGGCUAUUUGGCAUUAUACAGAAGUCUUUUUUUAAAUGUGAUUAAUUAACAUGGAGAAGUGGUAUGGUCCAAUUCACAGGGUAUAACUGAUUAAUUAACAUGUAGAAAUGGUAUGGUCCAAUUCACAGGGUAUAACUGAUUAAUUAACAUGUAGAAAUGGUAUGGUCCAAUUCACAGGGUAUAACUGAUUAAUUAACAUGUAGAAAUGGUAUGGUCCAAUUCACAGGGUAUAACUGAUUAAAUAACGUGGAGAAGUGGUACGGUCCAAUUCACAGGGUAUAACUGAUUAAUUAACGUGUAGAAGUGGUAUGGUCCAAUUCACAGGGUAUAAAUGGUAUGGCCCAAUUCACAGGGUAUAACUGAUUAAUUAACAUGUAGAAAUGGUAUGGUCCAAUUCACAGGGUAUAACUGAUUAAAUAACGUGGAGAAGUGGUACGGUCCAAUUCACAGGGUAUAACUGAUUAAUUAACAUGUAGAAAUGGUAUGGUCCAAUUCACAGGGUAUAACUGAUUAAUUAACAUGUAGAAGUGGUACGGUCCAAAUCACAGGGUAUAACUGAUUAAUUAACAUGUAGAAGUGGUAUGGUCCAAUUCACAGGGUAUAAAUGGUAUGGUCCAAUUCACAGGGUAUAACUGAUUAAUUAACGUGUAGAACUGGUAUGGUCCAAUUCACAGGGUAUAAAUGGUAUGGUCCAAUUCACAGGGUAUAACUGAUUAAUUAACAUGUAGAAGUGGUAUGGUCCAAUUCACAGGGUAUAACUGAUUAAUUAACAUGUAGAAGUGGUAUGGUCCAAUUCACAGGGUAUAACUGAUUAAUUAACAUGUAGAAGUGGUAUGGUCCAAUUCACAGGGUAUAAAUGGUAUUUGCUAUUUAACAAAUAUGCUCUUUAUAUCAAUAGUCCAACCCCUUUCUCUCUGUCUCUCUAUCUCUCUCUCUGUCUGUCUGUCUGUCUGUCUCUCUCUCUCUCUCUCGGUCUCUCUCUCUCUCUCUCUCGGUCUCUCUAUCUGUCUCUCUCUCUCUCUCUCUGUCUCUCUAUCUGUCUCUCUCUCUCCCUCUCUCUCUCUGUAUGUCUCUCUCUCUGUCUCUCUCACUAUCUUGCUGUCUCUCUAUCUCUCUCUCUUCCCAACUCCAUGUGCCUAACCAGCUAGAUGUGGGGUUUUUCCUGUAACGUACUAAAGGUUUAUACACAAAUAUGUAAAUACACUGAAAAUAUAUAUUAUAGAACAGUAUGUGGUUUAUUUGAGUUAGGCAGAGGUCUAUCUUCCCUUUGGAUAUCGCUGUAGUCCUUGCAUGUUUUUUUAGGACGGCCAAAUCUCUGUCUUUCUUUCCCCCUGUUAGUUUAACCACAAACCAGACUGAUAUAUAUAUCUCAGGGCCUUUUUCCCAUUUUGGAGACACUUCAAAUAUCAUUAAAUUGAAUACUUUUAUUUCUCCACUGAAUAACCUACCACAGCUGGUUUUGGCUGGGAUUCAAAUCCGAUCACGGAUUACAGGCAUCGAGGCUUUUAAAGCCAGUGAUCCCACGUUCGCAGAGAUUCCAUUCACAGUAAAUGCGGCAUAUGUUGGCUCGAUAGGAAAUGUCCUUUAUUAAAAAAGCUGCAAUGCUUGUAACCCCCAAACGCAGAUUGAAUUCCACCUGAGUUUCAAAACGUUCCCCUGCAUCCUAAGAUAUUGUGUUAGUGUUGAAACCUCUCAAGACAAACAAGCACAAAGACAGAAAUCACCUCUACUCUUUCCACUGUCAACAAUUCUCCAAACCCUGAAGACAAUUUUUUCCUAAGGAUUAUCUACUUUAAGCACAAGUACUACACAUGGAGGGACAUUUCACUCAGCCUCGAAACAGCCUGUUCAUAUUUCACCACCUUACUUUCAUCCCUCUGGAUAUUCUUUCAAAGGAAGUAACAACGUCGAAAUGAAUCAUAGUAUAACCUGGCCUUCUUGCCUUUUAACAGGUCUGUUAAAAACACCUUUUCUGCUGAUCGGUGCAACUGCCAUAGACAGUCAACUCCUCUACUCUCUGGGAUAGACAGUCAACUCCUCUACUCUCUGGGAUAGACAGUCAACUCCUCUACUCUGGGAUAGACAGUCAACUCCUCUACUCUGGGAUAGACAGUCAACUCCUCUACUCUCUGGGAUAGACAGUCAAGUCCUCUACUCUCUGGGAUAGACAGUCAAGUCCUCUACUCUCUGGGAUAGACAGUCAACUCCUUUACUCUCUGCGAUAGACAGUCAACUCCUCUACUCUCUGGGAUAGACAGUCAACUCCUCUACUCUCUGGGAUAGACAGUCAACUCCUCUACUCUCUGCGAUAGACAGUCAACUCCUUUACUCUCUGGGAUAGACAGUCAACUCCUCUACUCUCUGGGAUAGACAGUCAAGUCCUCUACUCUCUGGGAUAGACAGUCAACUCCUCUACUCUCUGGGAUAGACAGUCAACUCCUCUACUCUCUGGGAUAGACAGUCAAGUCCUCUACUCUCUGGGAUAGACAGUCAAGUCCUCUACUCUCUGGGAUAGACAGUCAACUCCUCUACUCUCUGGGAUAGACAGUCAACUCCUCUACUCUGGGAUAGACAGUGAACUCCUCUACUCUCUGGGAUAGACAGUCAACUCCUCUACUCUCUGGGAUAGACAGUCAACUCCUCUACUCUCUGGGAUAGACAGUCAAGUCCUCUACUCUCUGGGAUAGACAGUCAACUCCUCUACUCUCUGGGAUAGACAGUCAAGUCCUCUACUGUACGUUUGAUUUGCUGGACCUUCUUGGGUUCAACCAGACUGAGAUUCCCUCAUUAACAAUGGGCCUGGGUUCAACCAGACUGAG
rnacentral:lncRNA from 1 species